rnacentral:lncRNA from 1 species
GAAAAUCAAAUAAAUCAUGAAAUGUACAUAUAUUUUGUAUCAUGCUUCGCGAAGUUGUUACAAACUUCUAUCUUGGAGGGUAGAUACAGAUUUUCUACUAUACAAGUAGAAUGAUCAGAUCAGAUACAGAUACAGAUACGACAAUUUGCUAAGGCCAACAUCCGGCUGGCCAAACCAUGGUACAAUCUAUGACUACGGUCGCACCAACUAUAGUGGUCCUAACAGAUAUCUAUAGUCAUGACAUUACUUAGCCAUGAGUGACCCCUAUAGAUAGUGCAAUACCACUCUCAUCAGAGAGUACACCGUCAUCCACUGAUAAUGGUUUUCUUACGUCUUUUCAAACCAGAUAGGGGAGGGAGAAAUAGAUACCCCGAAGGAGAAGGAGAACAGAUACCCCUCAGAGAUAAAAGAUCUAACGAGACACUUGAUAUAAUAUGCAUGUCAAUACAAAUACACUUCAGACCAUACAUGCUUCAUUCAACUUUUCUCUUUUUCUUUUCUUUUUACUUUUACUAUUACGAAUUACAUAUUACAUUUAUUACAUGCAAAUUCAUCAUGUGUCUAUAGUUCACAUAGCAUGCUU